rnacentral:rRNA from 1 species
UGGGGAAUCUUGCGCAAUGGACGAAAGUCUGACGCAGCCACGCCGCGUGAGUGAAGAAGGCCUUCGGGUUGUAAAGCUCUGUCGGAAGGGACGAAAAGUUAUUAGGUGAAUAGCCUAGUGACCUGACGGUACCUUUAAAGGAAGCACCGGCUAACUUCGUGCCAGCAGCCGCGGUAAUACGAGGGGUGCAAGCGUUGCUCGGAAUCAUUGGGCGUAAAGGGUAGGUAGGUGGUCUCAUUUGUCUGAGGUGAAAGCCUUGGGCUCAACCUAAGAAGUGCCUCAGAAACGGUGAGACUAGAGUCCUGGAGAGGGUCGUGGAAUUCCCGGUGUAGCGGUGAAAUGCGUAGAGAUCGGGAGGAACACCAGAGGCGAAGGCGGCGACCUGGACAGGCACUGACAC